UACGAAGGGGGCUAGCGUUGUUCGGAAUUACUGGGCGUAAAGCGCACGUAGGCGGACUAUUAAGUCAGGGGUGAAAUCCCGGGGCUCAACCCCGGAACUGCCUUUGAUACUGGUAGUCUCGAGUCCGGAAGAGGUGAGUGGAAUUCCGAGUGUAGAGGUGAAAUUCGUAGAUAUUCGGAGGAACACCAGUGGCGAAGGCGGGUCUCUGGGCAAUUCCUGACGCUGAGGCGGCGAAAAGCGUG
rnacentral:rRNA from 1 species